UACGUAGGGGGCGAGCGUUGUCCGGAUUUAUUGGGCGUAAAGAGCGUGUAGGCGGCCAAGCAGGUCCGUUGUGAAAACUGGAGGCUUAACCUCCAGACGUCGACGGAAACCGCGUGGCUAGAGUCCGGAAGAGGAGAGUGGAAUUCCUGGUGUAGCGGUGAAAUGCGCAGAUAUCAGGAAGAACACCAAUGGCGAAGGCAGCUCUCUGGGACGGUACUGACGCUGAGACGCGAAAGCGUGGGGAGCAAACAGG
rnacentral:rRNA from 1 species